rnacentral:rRNA from 1 species
GACGAACGCUGGCGGCGUGCUUAACACAUGCAAGUCGAACGGAAAGGCCCUGCUUUUGUGGGGUGCUCGAGUGGCGAACGGGUGAGUAACACGUGAGUAACCUGCCCUUGACUUUGGGAUAACUUCAGGAAACUGGGGCUAAUACCGGAUAGGAGCUCCUGCUGCAUGGUGGGGGUUGGAAAGUUUCGGCGGUUGGGGAUGGACUCGCGGCUUAUCAGCUUGUUGGUGGGGUAGUGGCUUACCAAGGCUUUGACGGGUAGCCGGCCUGAGAGGGUGACCGGCCACAUUGGGACUGAGAUACGGCCCAGACUCCUACGGGAGGCAGAAGUGGGGAAUAUUGCACAAUGGGCGGAAGCCUGAUGCAGCAACGCGGCGUGCGGGAUGACGGCCUUCGGGUUGUAAACCGCUUUCGCCUGUGACGAAGCGUGAGUGACGGUAAGGGGUAAAGAAGCACCGGCUAACUAC